rnacentral:rRNA from 1 species
GGGAAACUGCCUGAUGGAGGGGGAUAACUACUGGAAACGGUAGCUAAUACCGCAUGACCUCGCAAGAGCAAAGUGGGGGACCUUCGGGCCUCACGCCAUCGGAUGUGCCCAGAUGGGAUUAGCUAGUAGGUGAGGUAAUGGCUCACCUAGGCGACGAUCCCUAGCUGGUCUGAGAGGAUGACCAGCCACACUGGAACUGAGACACGGUCCAGACUCCUACGGGAGGCAGCAGUGGGGAAUAUUGCACAAUGGGCGCAAGCCUGAUGCAGCCAUGCCGCGUGUGUGAAGAAGGCCUUAGGGUUGUAAAGCACUUUCAGCGAGGAGGAAGGGUUCAGUGUUAAUAGCACUGUGCAUUGACGUUACUCGCAGAAGAAGCACCGGCUAACUCCGUGCCAGCAGCCGCGGUAAUACGGAGGGUGCAAGCGUUAAUCGGAAUUACUGGGCGUAAAGCGCACGCAGGCGGUUUGUUAAGUCAGAUGUGAAAUCCCCGAGCUUAACUUGGGAACUGCAUUUGAAACUGGCAAGCUAGAGUCUUGUAGAGGGGGGUAGAAUUCCAGGU